AGAGAAAUCAGGAGGUACCUGAGAAAGUAGAAUGUACCUGAAAAAUAAGAAUGGACCAUCGUGAUACGUCGGGGGGGUGGGGGUGGGCUAUGAUUGUAGAGGAAGAGAGUCUGCCAGGAGACAGGAGGCUAUUGCCAUUGCAGGUGUUGCUGUCCUCUGGGCGGGUGGCACCGGAUACUAUAAGAAAGAAGGUUGAGAAGACAGGAAGGAGCAAGCCAGCAAGCAGCACACCUCUAUGGACACUGCAUCAGCUCCCGGCUCCAGGUUCCCCUGCUGUUUUGUGUUCCUGUCCUUAAUUCCCCGAGCAAUGUACUAAGCCAUGGAACAGUAAGCUAAAAUGAA